rnacentral:rRNA from 1 species
AUUGAACGCUGGCGGCAGGCCUAACACAUGCAAGUCGAGCGGCAGCGGGAAAGUAGCUUGCUACUUUUGCCGGCGAGCGGCGGACGGGUGAGUAAUGCCUGGGAAAUUGCCCAGUCGAGGGGGAUAACAGUUGGAAACGACUGCUAAUACCGCAUACACCCUACGGGGGAAAGCGAGGGACCUUCGGGCCUUGCGCGAUUGGAUAUGCCCAGGUGGGAUUAGCUAGUUGGUGGGGUAAUGGCUCACCAAGGCGACGAUCCCUAGCUGGUCUGAGAGGAUGAUCAGCCACACUGGAACUGAGACACGGUCCAGACUCCUACGGGAGGCAGCAGUGGGGAAUAUUGCACAAUGGGGGAAACCCUGAUGCAGCCAUGCCGCGUGUGUGAAGAAGGCCUUCGGGUUGUAAAGCACUUUCAGCGAGGAGGAAAGGUUGAUGCCUAAUACGUAUCAACUGUGACGUUACUCGCAGAAGAAGCACCGGCUAACUCCGUGCCAGCAGC